UACUUUGAAAUUUCAGAUUUCUGGACCGUGU
rnacentral:piRNA from 1 species